AUGGUUCGGAGAGACAAACAACCGGAUGGUCCGAUCGUUUCGGACCGAGCUGUGUUAUUAGCAGCUAGCGGGGGUGGGAGAGGGGGUGUUUGCAUUCAGCGAACAGAACCGAACCACGGGGCGACGACCUGCACAUCUUGUUGUCUAAUCGCUUUUAUUUUGUGGCUGCUAUGUAAUCGGCGUUCUAGCGGUGCUUUUAUAGAUAGAUAGAAAAUACAUUUAUUAGUCCCACACGUGGGAAAUUUCAUGGUUGCAGCACAGAGGACAGCACAGUCAGAAAAGCAGGUAAGACAAAAAACACAUCAUUAGAUCAAAAACAGUAAUAUUUAAAAAUAUAAAAACCAACAAAAAAAACCCACAAUCUUCCUCAUUCAACGGCCAGCUGCAACGGCCUCGUUCUAAAAUCUGACCGCUGCUGGGAGAAAUGAUCUUCUGAACCUUUCCCUCACGCGGCGUGGAUGCAGCAGCCUGCUACUGAAAGAGCUAUUCAGUGCUGCCAGAGCCCGGUGCAUGGGGUGGGAGAUGUUAUCCAUCGGAGAAGAUAGCUUGGCCACCAUUCUCCGCUCAGUCACCACCUCCACUGGGUCCAGAGGGGCUCCAAGAACCAAACAGAACCAGCUCUCUGGAUCAGUCUGUUCAGCCUUCUCCUGUCCCUAGCGGAGAUGUUGCUACCCCAGCCAACCAUGCCCUAAAAAAUAGCUGAGGCCACAACAGCGUCGUGAAAGGUCUUGAGUAGUGGACCCUGGACUCCAAAAGACCUAACCCCCAAAUUCCACUACCUCCGCUCCGCUCCGACACGAACGCCGGAGCAAAAUCGGUCCCGUUGUAGUCAAUCAGAGCAAUUCCACUACUGCGGCCGUGCUCCGGCAGUGCGGCGCCGUGCGCCGCCCUCUGUUCCGGCGUCCGGCAAAAAUAGAAUCGAUCCUAUUUUCGCCGGAGCACCUCCGCAGUAAAUGGACAGGAAUCACAACCGCCCAACAGGAAAAGGAGCAAGCACAACUUCCGUUUUUCACAAUAAAUCGAUAAACAAAAGGCGUUUUUUGUUUCAUAUGCACAGGUUUAACAACUUUUAACAACUAUCAAUGGCGGCUGAAGUUUAAAUGCACAAAAGUAAGCCAUAAAUACGGUUUAUACUAUCAAAGUAGUCACACUUUGUUGAUCCAAACACUGCUGAUCUCUCAACACAAAUGAUGGGCAGAUUAAACAGUUCAUGUCGAUGCUUCUCCCACACAACGGGUGUUUGGAUCUAACUUCCGCGUUUAUUGCUCGGACUGUAUCGCAAGAUCUCGAAAAUCCCGCGCAUGCUUGUUUGCCCCCCUCAGGUCUCCGCACCGGAGCGGAGCCAUUGUAGAGCGGGUAGCAGUAAAAAUUGAGUUCGGAAGCGAGCGGCUGCGGAAGGCGGGGGCGGAGCGGAGCGGAGCGGAGCGGAGGUAGUGGAAUUUGGGGGUAAGCCUCCGCAGAAGGUACAGCCUGCUCUGCCCUUCUUUGUAGAGAGCUGCUGUGUUAUCUGACCAGUCCAGUUGAUUAUUUAAAUGAACACCAAGGUACU
rnacentral:lncRNA from 1 species